AGAGUUUGAUCCUGGCUCAGGACGAACGCUAGCGGCAGGCUUAAUACAUGCAAGUCGAGGGGUAGCAUGAUUGUAGCAAUACAAUUGAUGACGACCGGCAAACGGGUGCGGAACACGUACACAACCUUCCUACAAGUGGGGAAUAGCCCAGAGAAAUUUGGAUUAAUACCCCGUAACAUAGCGAUGUGGCAUCACAUUGCUAUUAUAGCUUCGGCGCUUGUUGAUGGGUGUGCGGCUGAUUAGAUAGUUGGCGGGGUAACGGCCCACCAAGUCUACGAUCAGUAGCUGAUGUGAGAGCAUGAUCAGCCACACGGGCACUGAGACACGGGCCCGACUCCUACGGGAGGCAGCAGUAAGGAAUAUUGGACAAUGGACGCAAGUCUGAUCCAGCCAUGCCGCGUGAAGGAUUAAGGUCCUCUGGAUUGUAAACUUCUUUUAUAAGGGACGAAAAAAGGUCUUUCUAGAUCGUCUGACGGUACCUUAUGAAUAAGCACCGGCUAACUCCGUGCCAGCAGCCGCGGUAAUACGGAGGGCGCAAGCGUUAUCCGGAUUCACUGNGUUUAAAGGGUGCGUAGGCGGGCAGGUAAGUCAGUGGUGAAAUCCUAGAG
rnacentral:rRNA from 1 species